UUGUAGGAAUGAUACAUCCUCCUCCUGGGCUCUAUGCUUUGCUCUAUGCUUUCUGAACACCAUGUGUUGAAUAGCUUUCCACAGAAAAGUCUUUACAUCAUGCAGCCAAUGGAUCAGUAAACAAAACUCUGAAACUAUGAACCAAAUAAAUUUCUCAUGACAGGGUCUCCCUAAUUCAAUAAAUUGCCUGCCUUUGCCUGGAACUUUCAGUCCUCUUGCCUCAACCUUCAGUAGUGCUGGCGAUACAAAUGUGUUUCACCACAUCUGGUUGAUCAUCUCUUAUUCACUGGAUUUAAAUUUUGGGAAUGUGGCUGCUUAAUUAUGUGGCUCCUUGCUAAUCCACACAGUUAUUACCAGUGAGGUCUGGACACUCAUAAGAAGCAGAGAAAAAAUUUCCACUGCUCCAUGCUUCUAUGGAUCACCUUCUUUCCCAUUCAUGGAAGGAAUAUCCACAUAGUCCUCCCUAAGUAGCUUUUCUCUGUCUUAUCAAACACUUUACCAACUUUCAAUUCUUUCUAAUAGGUACUCAUGGUGUGAUGGUUAAUUGAUUGUGUCAACUUGAGAAGUUUGGUUAAGAGAAGCUUGGUGAAAUUGGCUCAGCAAAUUUCACACCCUAGGGUGUGGAAGACCCACCUGGAUGGUGUAUAAAGAGGAAAUGAGGAAGGACAUAUCUGCUUCUUCUGUUUCUUCAGAGGAGUUUGUUAUGGUUUGUGUCUAGAUGUCCUCCCAAAGCAGUCAUAGGUGGCCUUUUCAGAGGUAACUAAAUCUAGAGUAUGUGACACUGGGGUAAAGGGUGUGUGUUUACUAAAUCAGCAUAUUGAUUGGUUUGGCACUACCCUAAUCCUGGUAGUCUAGACAAGACUAAAGGGGCAGAAAGAUGCUGUUGAGUUUCCCUUGUUGCAUUGGUACCUUCAGUCUGCCAGGAACUGUUGCCUCUCUGCCAUGUGUUACCCUGCCUAGGAGCCAGCUGACUAUGGACUGAAACCUCUACAAACUGUGAGCUAAAUAAACUGUUCCUUCCUUAACUUGUAUGUGUUGGGUAUUUUUUCUCAACAAUGAGAAAAGUAGUAAAAACAGAGGUCCAGUCUUCACCUUCACUUUGGACAUUAUCUCUGAGCUUCCAGCAGACUCAUCUGCUUCAAGUGCAGACCCUUCAGCCUUCUAGUAUAGAUUCUUCAGCCUUCCAUGGAGACCUAUCAGCCUCCUGAUACGGAGUCACACAGGACUGUGCAGUGAGCUCCCGACCUUUGAUGAGAUCCUGUGGUCUCCAGUGUGCAGACAGACCUUCUGCACUCUUCCUCACCUGACUCUGGGUGUCCAUUGUAAGCCAAUAUUGUUAAUUCAUAUAUAUUUGUAUAUUUUUUGUUAUAUCUGUUUCUUUUGUAAAUACUGACUGAUACACUUGGUCUUUGAGCAACUGAAUGCUAGUAAUAAUCAACAGACUAGGGAACAAAGGGAGAUUAGAUGUUCAUUUGAAACAAAAAAGAACCCCUCCCUCCAAAAAGAGAAGUAAAAUCAAACAAAUAAAUAAAAAAAGAAAUCUCAGACAAUGUAAAUUAGAAGAAUAAGUGACAAGACUUGAGCAGUCAGUCCUCUGAAAGUGUUGGAGUCUGUUUAUUGAGAGAGAGUAUAUAUCACACUUCCCUAUUCUCUGAGACAUGACAAUCCUGAAAUUAGGCCAGUUGGGACCUUUCAAAGGGCUCUAAUUCUUUCAGUGUAAGCAAUGGUCAGAAAUUUCUUCUGUUGAAUUAAAAGCUAGAAAUGACUAAGAUUAAUGAGAAAGGAAUGUUAAAAGCUGAGAUAACUCCAAAUCAAGGCCUCUUUUGCCAAGAAGACAAGAUUUAGAUGAAAGAUUCUUUAAAGGAACUACUCCAGUUAACAGUGAAAAAGUUUUAUUCCUAAUAUGGAAAAUAAUUAGUAGUCUGAAUGGAGCUCAAGUCAGCCAUGGUACUCCCUUAAACUAAGGGCUAAUGCAGAACAGAAACCUAACUCUCUUCAAGUCAAAGGAGGCUUAGAGUUGAAGAAGCUGCAGAGGAUAAAUUUGAUGCUAAGCUGAAUCUGGUUCAUGAGGUUUAUGGAAAGAAGCCAUCUCCAUAACAUAGACAUCCAAGGUAAAACAGCUGGCACUGACUUAGAAGCUAUAACAAGUUAUUCAGAAAAUAUAGCUAAAAUAAUUUAUAAAGGUCUACAAGGAAAUGAUUUUCAAUAUAGAUGAGCAGCCUUUUAUUGUAAGAUGCCAUCUUAUUCAUUUUUGGGUGGUGGAGAGAGAUUGGAGAUUAAACUCAGGGUCUUUGAACUCCAAUGCAUCCUCAGAUCUUUCUAAUUUUUUAAAAUUUGAGACAGGAUCUCACUAAUUUUCUGAGUUAUCCAAUAUGAACUCAACCUUGCAAUUCACCAGCCUCAUCUCCCAGAGCACUAGGAUUACAGGCAUGUGUCAUAAUGCUCAUCAUCUUGACUUUUCAUAGCUACAGAAGUCAAUGCUCAGCUUUGACUUCAAAGAUCCUAAAGGACAGGCUGACAUUGUCAUUAGAGGCUAAUGCACUUGAUGACAUUAUGUUGAAGUUAAAGCUUACUAUUUUGAAAAUCCUAGGGUCCUUAAUGAUCAUGCUAAUCUACUCUACCUGUGCUCUGUAAAUGGAAAAACAAGAUGAGAACCUAAAACAUAUCUAACUUCAUGUUUUAAUGAAAAUUUUAAGCCCUUUGUUGGAGACAUACUGCUCUGAAAAAGAGAUUUAUUUCAAAAUAUUAUUGUUUACAGGAAAGGGUGGAGGGGGCAAAGGGAGGGCUAGGAAUGGGGAAAAAAUAAGAACCAAGAUGCAUUAUGUAAAGGUAC
ensembl:lncRNA